ACAGAGGGCUCAAGCGUUAAUCGGAAUCACUGGGCUUAAAGGGUCCGCAGGCGGAUUGGAAAGUAUCUUGUGAAAUACCACGGCUCAACCGUGGAACUGCUCGGUAAACUUCCAAUCUUGAACACGGUAGGGGCCAUCGGAACCUCGUGGAGCGUGGAAUGACGUAGAUAUCUAGAGGAACGCCAGAGGCGAAGGCGGAUGGCUGGGCCGUUGUUGACGCUCAGGGACGAAAGCAUGGGUAGCGAACGGGAUUAGAUACCCCGGUAGUCAUCC
rnacentral:rRNA from 1 species